GACGAGACAACGCUUUCAAAACACUUCAUAAACUUCAAAAACUAAGCGUCCCUUCCUCUUCUCAACCAAACCCAAACAAAAACCCUAACUUUCUCUCUCCUCUCUCAUUCUCACUCUCUCACCUCAAUCUCUCCGCGUUUUCUCUUCAAAUUCUCCAGAAUUCGAUUCAAAUUUCCUUCAACACAAUUAACGCAGAUCGCGUUCUUGUUCGCACUUCAAAAUUCGCGCGCGCACUCCAUGAAUGGAAGACAAAGACAGAGCAGCCUCCUCCGAUCCCACCGCAGAUGCUGAGUUCGCCGGCGACACGAGUUGGACACUCGCCGCCGAUGACUCCGACGGCGCAUACCUGUUCCCCGGCGACAGAGAGCGGAGCAUACUCAGGGAAUUCGUGUGGAACCUCGAACCGGACCAGCCGAACCGGAUCGGCACCGACGACGGAUUGUGGAAGCCGGUUCAGUCCUCUCUGACCGAUUCGAUUGAACCGGUCGCCGCCGCGCCGUCGCGGUCGAACAACCAAUCGAUUUCUUCCAGCUCCAGCGAGGAUCCACCGGAGAAAUCCACCGUCUCCGACGAUAAACCGCCUGAGAUACCGAGUAAAGGUAAAAACAAGGGGCAAAAGCGAAUACGGCAGCCACGGUUUGCAUUUAUGACCAAGAGUGAAGUUGAUCAUCUUGAGGAUGGCUACAGAUGGCGGAAGUAUGGUCAGAAGGCAGUUAAAAAUAGUCCUUUCCCUAGGAGCUACUACCGGUGCACAAACAGCAAAUGCACGGUGAAGAAGAGGGUUGAACGCUCUUCCGAGGACCCAACGAUUGUGAUUACUACAUAUGAAGGGCAACACUGUCAUCACACCGUUGGAUUUCCUCGAGGGGGAAUCAUUAGUCAUGAAGCUGCCUUUGCCAGCCAGUUGGCUCCAACAAUGUCACAGUUCUAUUAUCCAAUUCAAUUACCCAGAGAUAAUAAUAAUAAUAAUAAUAGUUUCAGCUCUAUUUCUCAGCCAUGCCAAGCAUAUGAUGAUGCUGAAGGAGGAUUAAGUGCUAUGAUGCCAUUGCCAGCUGAUGUAUCGUCACAGUCACAGCCUUCCACGGAUGAAGGGUUGCUUGGAGAUAUUGUACCCCCGGGAAUGCGCAUCAGAUGAGAGAAUUAUUUGAUGGAUGAUCAGGUGGAAGUGGAGCAGAGAAAAUGCAUGGACAUGCAUGCAUCUUUAUUUUCUGCAUACUCUGAGCAAGUAGGCCACAAGUGGCAGCAAUUUUUUUUCUUUUAGCAGCAAGUCCCUUUUAGCCAUCUAUUGUCUCGAGAAGCGAAUCUAGUAUUCAUGCAUGGGUACCAUAUAAUACCUCAGUAGCAGAUAGGGCAACGGUAAAUAGGGGAUGCUGGAGCGCAAUCAGUUGCGUGGAAUUCGAUAUUGCUUGGGAGUCGGCAGCCCACGUUACUUUAUGCCACUCACUCCCACCUUUCACUUUCUUCCACUUUCCACUCCUUUCCUUUUCAGAUUUCACCCUUCUUUUUUAUUUUUUCAUUUCCAUGCUUUUCCCUCUUUUUUUAUUCUCUUUUACCGCUUGUCCCCUCACCAUUAUAGUAUAUUUGGAUUAUAUAAUUUGAAUUAUUGGUUAAUUCAACCGCAAAGUAUCUUUAAACAAUUCAAUUAUUAUUUAA